rnacentral:misc_RNA from 1 species
GGCAAGACUAGUUGAUUUGUUGCUUAAGUGAAUGGUAAAGAUUCUAAAGAAUGCACAGCUUCAUAUACAUCAUGCGCUUUUUGGCUUGUUGCAUGCUUGUGGAAGCACCUACCGGAGAGAGACUCGUGCUAAUGGAAAGAUUUUUUCAUUUCACAUCUCUGGUAGCAGAUGAGGUAGCACAAAUUUUGUGCUAUGCAUAUGGUCUUGCGAAAAAAUGUCGUUUAAACAUGAAAUCAUCUAGUGGAAGACAGACGUCGAUCCCUGCCGUGGAGGACUAAAGAGCUGACAGAUCUUGGCUCUGCUCUUUUUAAUGCAUAACUGCUAGUAUGGAAAUGCAUGGCAAAUAUGGCAACCACAAGGAACUUAGAUAAACUUGUGUUAAAAUUUCAAGUUAAUGGGUUUGACUUCCCAACUAUACAAAUACAGUGCAGGAUAGCAGGAUUUUCUUAAAUCGAUAACUAUUGGCUUUAUGCACAGCAGGGCAGACAGUAUAUAGCGUACCACUCUUUUGACUCUCUGUAUACAAUUUGAAUCACAAUCGCAACUGUUUAUCCCACCCAACUGGUGCCCUGAUUAGACAAAUUCCAGCUGCUUGAAAAGCCCUGGUG